CGCGAGAGGAAAACGAACUCGGUGAGACGCAAGCUUCGUUUCACCAGCGAGACCAGGACCGUCAGACGUCGCCAUCGUUAACCGGCGGUGGCGUUUCCAGCCAAAACNUCGGAUCUCCUCCUCCACCUCUCUUUCGCGUGAGAGAAGCUCUCCCUCCUCCGUCGAACAUCGCCUGAGCGAACCCAGGCGCCUCGAACCAGGAUUCCGUCGGCGCUGCGAAUCGCGACCAAGGUUGUCGCCGGAAUUUGUUUCCUCAUCGACACCACCAGCACCAUUCUCCCUUCUCCAUUCACUAAUCCUCUCCCUCAAAUGCCAAAUGCCUCCAGCAACAUCACCGCCGAUACCGAGGACGAAAGCACUUUUCCUUCUCUUCUUCUCAUUUCCUUUUCAAUAUUGUUCAUUUGAAUGUUGUUCUGUUGAUGGAAGUUUCUUCCACUGGGAUGUUUUGGGUUAAAUCUGAUGGGAUUUUGUUUUGCAGGUCAUAGAGGACAUUGAGCAUGGAGCUCGAGAUGUCAAUCUAGAGGGAAGGCGCUGGGUGUAAUGGUUGUUCAAAGGAUAGAGCUUAGAAUCUGGGUUUUGGUUUGUUCAAUCUGCUUGAUGGAGGUAGAAGAUGGUGUAGCGUUUCCUAUUCCGAUAUAUGCUGAUAUGAAAAUUAUUUAUGUUUAUCUUUUAUUUACAUGCCUUUCUGGACAUUUCUGGAUGUGAGCAAAGAGGGUAUUGGGGUCUUGNUGUUGGGGAUAUAUGCCUAUGCCUAUGUUUCUAUGUAGUUUAUAAGUGAUGAAAUUUGNAGGCCUUGAAACAACCAUAUACAAGCAAACGAGCACAACCAUAUACAUGUAUUAUUCAUUCAUAUCUGAUUCAUUAAACAGAUGCCUUCACAUACGAUCAAGUUCAGAGACUAUGACUUACCUCCGCCGCUUUAAACGAACCAGUGAAAGUAAAUGGCUCUCUUCUCCUUUGACCGUGAGGUCCGCUCCUCUUGUGCUCUCUGUACUGUUUUUCUUUUUUCCUUCAAUGUGUAUAUCCUUUGAUCGUCUUUUCUAUCUUUUCGUUGUGAUAGUUUUCGUUGUGAUAGUGUACCCCUUGCUUCUUGGUCUCCUCCUCCUUGUAUCCCCUUCUAUUGUCUGAGUAAAAGAUAAGUAAAGAUAGAAAUACUGAUUUCGUCGGAGUUUCAACUAAUUUAAGUACAUGCUGAUCAAAUUCAAAAGGGAGGUUACAACACAACAAAAGCUUGACCAAAGCCAAAAGAAAGACGACUCACCAAAACAGCAACCUGGACUUGACCAUUGCCUUGCAGAGGGCCAAGAUCGCAGAAGAAGAAAUUAAAAAUUGACCAUUG
rnacentral:lncRNA from 1 species